UACGUAGGUGGCAAGCGUUAUCCGGAAUUAUUGGGCGUAAAGAGCGCGCAGGUGGUUAAUUAAGUCUGAUGUGAAAGCCCACGGCUUAACCGUGGAGGGUCAUUGGAGACUGGUUGACUUGAGUGCAGAAGAGGGAAGUGGAAUUCCAUGUGUAGCGGUGAAAUGCGUAGAGAUAUGGAGGAACACCAGUGGCGAAGGCGGCUUCCUGGUCUGCAACUGACACUGAGGCGCGAAAGCGUGGGGAGCAAACAGG
rnacentral:rRNA from 1 species